GCCUGGGUGGCUCAGUCGGUUGAGCGUCCGACUUCAGCUCAGGUCAUGAUCUCGCGGUCCGUGGGUUCAAGCCCCGCGUCGGGCU
rfam:Felis catus isolate Cinnamon breed Abyssinian chromosome B1, whole genome shotgun sequence.